rnacentral:rRNA from 1 species
UACGUAGGGUGCAAGCGUUGCCCGGAUUUAUUGGGCGUAAAGGGCGCGUAGGCGGCUCUGCACGUUCGUUGUGAAAUCGCCCGGCUCAACUGGGCGGGGUCAGCGGAUACGGCAGAGCUUGAGCAAGCUAGGGGGCAAUGGAAUUCCCGGUGUAGUGGUGGAAUGCGUAGAUAUCGGGAGGAACACCAGUGGCGAAGGCGGGUUGCUGGGCCGACACUGACGCUGAGGCGCGAAAGCCAGGGGAGCGAACGGG